rnacentral:tRNA from 1 species
GUCCUCUUCGUCUAACGGUCAGGACACAGCUCUUUCACAGCUGAAACGCGGGUUCAAUUCCCGCAGAGGAU